CCAGUUCUUGCAAAUUUGUUACCAAUUCAAAUCAAUGGCGGCAUCCCAAGCCAAGAACAGCAUGGUGGAAUCAUCGGGGGUCCCUGUCUCCGCCUUCUCAUCAUCAUCAUCCCCCUCUUCACCGCAGGGUUGCAUCAAUACCCCUGCGGAUUGUUGUCUCGCGAAAUUCCUGUCGCAAAACUGCUAUAACUUCAGUUCGAGUGCUGCACCGGCUAAAGUCAUGAUUCAUGCCAACGGUGUUUGGUUGAAUUUCCCGAGCAAAGUGUUGGAGACCUUCCGAUACUGCUACAUUCAUCGGAAACCGGUCGUCAAAUUGUCCGUUGACAAUUCUAGAUACGUAGUCGAUUUCAUGCGUAUGUUGAUGAUUGACUUCAAGACUGGUAGGCUCCGGUCAAUUGCGUGGAUCGACGAGAACGGCAAGUGUUUUUUCCCAAAGAUGUUCGCGGGGGAUGAUUCGGUUAUACCCGUGAAUCGGAUUCAGAGAUAUGUUAACGAGAGUUCAGGCAAGAGAAAGAGACUGGACGAAGAGGAGGAAGUGUCCUCGAAGAUAAAGGAAGAAGAUGCUCCGAAACGGCAACUUAUUUAUGCACCUGGUUUGAGAGUGUCGAGAUGGCCAAAUGCGAGGCUCCUUGGUGAAGGGGAUAUUGUAUAUUCACGGGUCCACGAUAAUUUCUUGAGCUUUUUAAGGAAGAUAGAUCCUAGCGGCACAGUCACCGCGAUUCAUCAAUGUGUGUCCGAGACUGGCAUACAGAGAGCUCGACUUCAAGUUUUCGAAAAGCAGCGGGAGAUUAUUAAGGCCGCUCGUGGUUCGGAAAAUAUUGUUAGUGCUUUGUUUGCAGCCUCAGCGAAAGAAGUGGAGAGGGUUUUGACCAAUGGUUUUGGACCUCAUGAGAAAAUUUAUGAGUGUGGUACUUACGGCGUCGGCCUGCAUCUGUCUCGCGCAGCAUGGCCCGUCUUAUGUGGGAAGCUAGGUGAGGUGGACGAUCGCGGCGAGUUGCACAUUAUGAUGUGCAGAGUGAUAUUGGGCAAUGUUGAGAAAGUGCAGGCGGGGUCUCGGCAGAGUCAUCCGUCUAGUGUAGAUUUUGACACUGGUGCCGACGAUCCCCAGAAACCCACAUUGUACGUGGUGUGGCCGACCGAUGUUAGCCGCCACAUUUUUCCGGAGGUUAUACUGAGCCUCAAGUGUCCUAAUCUUGUGAGAGUAAAACAUUCGUCCCUGGAGAAUGAUACAUUGUUUUCUAAGCUUAUGAGUUCCCUUCCACCUGCCAAAGCUCAGGAAGUGGAGGCUUUGUAUUGUUCAUUCAAGGCUGCUAAGGUGUCCAAAGAUGCAUUUAUAACACAGUUGACAUCAAUGGUCGGACGUGAAGUGCUGACUUCUGCAACUAAGGAGAUUCAGGGGUCAAGAUGAGAUUCUCUUAGAGGAGUUGUGCACAGACUUAUUGUGUUUCAGCGACUGUCAUCUGCUGCUAUCAUAUUGAAGCCUUGCCAUCUUUUGCAUAGUGAUUUUGGGUAACACUGGCUUAGUUACUCAGGGAGAUCUCUUGAAUAAAGAACAGGAAAUGGUAUUCGGUUGUGUGCUUCAAUCUGAGCUGUCCCACAUUCACUUUGUUCUAUAACAGAGGCUUAGAUCACGUACAGGGCUUUUGGUCCCAUCCUUGAAAGACCGAGAAUUUGAGAUUUCUGUGGGCAUAUAUGUUGAGUGCUCAUGCAAUAAAUCUAGAACAUUUGAAGUAACUCCGACAAUUAUGGUUGACAGCACUUGUUGUCUCUUCUAUGGGCAGGAGAGGAGGAGAAUACGUUUUAAUUGUAAAAAGUUGGCGAUUCUGGAAUUUUGGCACUCUGUUCUGCAAUUAUAGAAGUCAAGGUUUAGGAAAGGCGAUUUCUUUUUUUAGUUUUACCUUAAAAGCUGUUCUACAGUUGAUUAUGCAUCAUCAUUUUUUGUGUUGUUCUACUUAUUCAUGUGAAAUCUAUUUUGCAUCUCAUUGUGUUAAGGCAGUUGAGUAAUAUAUAUAGCUGCUUGGGAAAUUGUUAUCUGUGUCGAAGGGAUGUCUUGUAUUUGCCACUAGCACUAUGGUCUGGCGUUCCUUAUCUUUUUUUUUUUACCAUUUUGUCAUGUAUUACUAACAUCUGUAGUUUUAGCCUGCAGGUGCUUGCUGUGGCAGAAAUUUGGUUUAUGCUUGCUCAUGUGAUUUGUUACAAGAAUCUUGGCGAAUUAGGGUUUAUCUACCAUUCUCUCACUUAUGCUUGUAAAUGGAAAAUUGUUCCGGAAAUAGUACCUAUUUCUUUCCCAUUUCUUAAAUUUCGCAGGACCUUAUGUACAUGCAAAUAUGGUUAUGACUAGGUUCGGUCCCUGUGAACAGACGUUCACUGAAUUGGGAUGUCUAUGUUAGCGUGCAUACUUACAAGCUAUUGUUUUCAUUUGUGUUCUGUGAGCCAGUGAAAUUCUGGAAUGAAAUAAGUAUAUGAGGUGAUUUGGUAUUUAUUCUCUAGUUGCUGAAUCAUUGUAUUCACUUGAUAGCUGCUUGCUUUUAGGUAUACACGUUCCCUUCCCUUGAAGUUGUUGGUGAAAGUAAUAAUGAUGCACAUGGCAGACAGCACAUAUUUUGGUUCUAUGGGAGAAGAUGUUAGAUGAUGAUCUGACGUAGUCGUGGCCAAUUUCUCAAGCAAAGUGCCUGCUUACCUUUUGAGUAAUAUAAUGGUCU